UUAGAUGAGUUGACUAAAAGGAGACGAGAUGUAAAUGGAGGCCUAGAUAGAAAUCUUGAGGAUGAUGAUGAGUUGACUAAAAAAAUCAAAAUGUAAUAUUUAUUUACACGGACAUGAACAAUGAAAAUGUUGGAAUGAUCUGUAGCAAAUUUGUUGAGCAUCUCUAGA